AAGGGUGCGUAACACGUAGGUAAUCUGCCGUGAAGACUGGGAUAACUUGCUGAAAGGCGAGCUAAUACCGGAUGUGAACGCAAGUUCAAAGUUGGGGACCGUAAGGCCUGACGCUUCACGAUGAGCCCGCGGCCUAUCAGCUAGUUGGUGAGGUAAUGGCUCACCAAGGCUAAGACGGGUAGCUGGUCUGAGAGGACGACCAGCCACACUGGAACUGAGACACGGUCCAGACACCUACGGGUGGCAGCAGUCGAGAAUUUUUCUCAAUGGGCGAAAGCCUGAAGGAGCGACGCCGCGUGGGGGAUGAAUGGCUUCGGCCCGUAAACCCCUGUCAUUUGCGAACAAAUUGUUUCACCUAACACGUGUAACAUUGAUUGUAGCGGAAGAGGAAGGGACGGCUAACUCUGUGCCAGCAGCCGCGG
rnacentral:rRNA from 1 species